GGCGGGGGGCGGCGCUCUCUGCAAACGGCCACCCGAGGGCGCGCUGGGCGGGCGGCGGCGGCGGCAGACCGUAAGCCACAGCGGGCGCAGGGAGCCGCAGCGGGUGCUCAGCCCUAGGGCCGAGCAGGAGAUGUGCGGCGAGUGCAGAAGGGCGGGCCCGGGAUGUCCCGGGUUUUCGAGCGGGGAGCCGCCUGCUGAACACCCUUCUGCUGCCCUCCGUUCCCGCGGCUCCCCUAGGAGCCCAGCCCCGCCCAACUCUCACUUGGGCUCAUCGCCGCGGCUCAUCUCUCUCGCAACCGCUGCCGCACGUUCCCGCUCCGCCGCCCCGCGGAGGGCAUCCUGUCGUCAGAUUUGCCUAUUCUGGACGUUUGAUAUUAAUGGAACCAUAAAAUACGUGGACUGGCUGAUUUUACUGAGAUACGAUUUGCAUACUAUAAAAUUCAGCUUUUAAUGAUUGUUGUGGCUCUUACUAGAUCCCUUGCAUUUCCAUAUGAAUUUUAGGGUCAUCUUGUCAAUUUCUGCAAAAAUGGCAGCUGGAAUUUUGAGAGAGACUCCAUCGAAUCUGUGCCUCAAAUUAGGAGUACAGCCACCCUAACAAUACAGGUGUCAGCGGCUGCUCACCAGAGCCAUCGUCCACCAUUCCCUGGAGCACUCUGAAGGAGCCCGACUGGCGAGGCUGUGUGGGCUCAUUCUGAUUGUCGUGGAGCAUCCGGUACACAUCCGACUCGGGGGGCACCGAGGCCAUGGGCUCGCUGAAACACAGGCACGGCGGGGAGCAUCGUCAGAUGCUGGGAGGCACCAGACGUGCAAGAGGCCACAGACAUCAAUACUCAGCCAUUACUCUGUGCACAGCCACUCCUGAACAGAGGUCUAGUAUUUUCAAGUGAAUCUCUAGUAUAGUUAAAAGCAUAAUGUGAAUUCACAUGGCUGCCUUGGAAAUGCCAUUGGGCAAGAAAUCGAGGAGUCGCACCCACACUCCUCCACUUGGCAAAAUACUUUGGAAGGAAACUAAAAGAUAAUUGUCAGGAAAUAGUAAUUAAGAAAAACAAGACUUGAGUCUGAUGGAUACAUAAUGAUAGAUGUGAACAAAAUUAACUUUUCCCAGAGAAAAGGCAAUAUACACAUGACAGAAAGUGCAGCAGUGAGCACUCAGAUUAUUCUCAGUCAUCAAAUUGUCAGUAAAAUUCACAUUCACUUUUGAUAUUAAACAAAAAGUAUAUGGUUUAAUAUGCUUUUAGUUUUAAGGCUAAUUUGUUAACCCCUGGAAAUAACAACGGUAUCAUUUUACUUGUAAAUUCUAGAAAUUUAACCUCUCAGGGUUUGAAAGCCUGUAAUGUAGAAACUUACAUUUUUAUAUCUGCUAUAAUUGACUGCACUGUCUUUUAAAAAUAGCCACAUUAAAAUUCAUUUACAAUAAUGACAGCAGCUUUAACAUGCUUUCUACAAAUAUAUUCAUAAUGGACAAUAAAGAAUUUCAUAAUACUA